rnacentral:lncRNA from 1 species
UCUAUUGUGAAUUUGAGUUUUGGUGAUUGAAUUGCUGGCUGAAAUGUUGAUCCUAAGUGAAUAUUGAACUCCUAAAACUGUGGUAAACAAUACUAGUGAGUUCAACAUACAUAGGAAGGUUGAAAGUAAGCCCAAGGCAAUCAAUAUACCAUACUUAAAGAAACAAAUCGCUGGUGCUGGCAGCUUGGACAUACAAACUUGUAAAAAUUACUGAGAAUUGGUUACUUCGAAUUUUG